rnacentral:tRNA from 1 species
GGGGCUAUGGUGUAGUAGCAGCACAAUUCUCUGUGGAAGAAUCAGCACGAGUGCAAAUCUCGUUAGCCCCC